rnacentral:lncRNA from 1 species
AUGCUAGAAAUGAAAAGGUUCAGAGAACUGACACCAAGGAAAGGCCCAAAGCUGCACUCUGCUCCUGACAGCUUCUCUUUACACCACCGUUUUUCCUCUGAGCAUGUUCCAGUGUCUCUGCACUCCCAGUCCUCCUGCAGCAGCUGGGGCCAGCCAAAGAAGGCUAUCGUAGCCUGGCGUUCCUUCUGGGAGCUUCUCACAGCACAAGCAACCUCCUUUCCAGCAGAUCACAGGUGUUCUCCACAUGAUGUGAGCAGUCUGGGAGAGGAAAUUCUGCAAUUCCACUCUGGACUCAGGAAAGGGAGGUUGUACCAAGUUUUCUGUGCUGAGAGAAAAUACAAAAGGCUCCCCUUUGCAAUCAUGCCUGAUUGA